rnacentral:lncRNA from 1 species
GAUAAGUGCUAAAUAAUGCAUAAACUAAUAUCUUAUUCAUGGCACUUAUCAUUAUUUUAAUUUACAUAUUUUAUAAAUUUAACUAAAAAAAUUGUGUUACCUUCAUCAUUGCAUUUUAAUAAAUUAUUCGAGAUUUACUUAUGUAUUUAUUGAUUAAGCCUUAUGUAUGUAGGUCAAGUCAAAUUGAAUGAUGCUUAAACCCACACUGCACUUCAUCAAAUUCUUUUCUUUUCUUCGCACAUUCACCUAUCAAAAACAAGUCUCCCUACAUGUCCAAACUUCCCAAUUCCCUUUUCAACACAUGGCUAUCCAAGAUCACGUGUAUUCUUCCCCGCGUCUAAAGGUCUUGUUCCCAGCUAACAGCAACACUCCCAGCCCCCGUAUCCCAUUCCGAAUCUAAGCUCCAUCUCUUCCGAACCAACCCAGCCAAAUUAAAUUCACAUCCUUCUCAGCAUGAUCCACGGGAUGGAUUCAAAAAUCCAGCUUCUUCCGCUAGAUCCCAGCAUCCUCUUCCUUCGGAAUAAAGUUCC